UACGUAGGGGGCUAGCGUUGUCCGGAUUUAUUGGGUUUAAAGGGUGCGUAGGCGGUCUUUUAAGUCAGUGCUGAAAUACUCCAGCUUAACUGGAGGGGUGGCAUUGAUACUGGAAGACUUGAGUGUAGUCGAGGUAGGCGGAAUUGACGGUGUAGCGGUGAAAUGCUUAGAUAUCGUCAAGAACACCGAUAGUGAAGACAGCUUACUAGGCUACAACUGACGCUGAGGCACGAAAGUGUGGGGAUCAAACAGG
rnacentral:rRNA from 1 species